rnacentral:lncRNA from 1 species
AAUUAGGCUGCAUCAAAGUAACUAAGUGAAAGUGGUAUGUCAAAAAAACAUCCUAUGCUGGGCAGACAGCAAAUUGAUGACCUGUAUGGCAGUCCAGCAGGAAGCAUGUUCACGGCCACAGCAUAUUUCAUGGAGAACAGAAAAAACUUCAGAAUUUCAUGGAGAACAGAAAAAACAUACCCUCCUCGCUGUACCAGACAACCUACAAGUACUAUCCUAUUAAGGUGUGCAUGGCCUGUCAACUUGACGCACAGAAAUGGGCAAAAUUCUAUGGUGCCAGGAAACCAAUCUAUUUGAGAUCUGACGAACACGAUAUGGAAAGAAAAUGGAGGCUGGAAAAAAAAAGAUGUGGAUCAAAGAUGUUUCAUUGCAAAACUACAUAGUAUGUUAAACUGAUCCCCAUUGUUCUACAACCAAAGGGAAGAGUUAAAAGAAGGGCACGAGAUCAAGGUUGAAUUGAUGUCUUCA